rnacentral:rRNA from 1 species
CGCCUGUUUAUCAAAAACAUGGCUCUCUGUAUAUUGAAGAUAGAGAGUCGGACCUGCCCGGUGAAUUUUUUAACGGCCGCGGUACUCUGACCGUGCAAAGGUAGCAUAAACAUUUGCCUUAUAAUUGAAGGCUAGAAUGAAUGGUUUGACAAGAAUACAACUGUCUCUUUACAAUUACAUAAAAUUUUAUCUGCAGUUGAAGAAGCCUGCAUUUGAAUAAAAGACAAGAAGACCCUAUCGAGCUUAAAAAAAACUGGUGGAAUAACAAACUUAAUCCUAACUUAUAAAUAAAUAAAUAGUCAACUACUGGAAAUUUUGGUUGGGGCGACCGGGGAACAAAAGAAACUUCCUUUAUAAAAAUUUAGAUGCCCAAAUAUUGAUCCAGCAUUAUAUGAUUAAAGAAAUUAGUUACCGUUGGGAUAACAGCAUUAUCUUUUUUAAGAGUUCUUAUCGAAAAUACUUUGUGACCUCGAUGUUGGACCAGAAUAUUCUAAAGAUGCAGCC